GAGGGAGGGCCCAGGCUGCCUGGGGAGACCCAGCGAUCUUUCUCACAGGAAAUUGACUGUCUUACAUUUUGUUUUGGAAGAAAGAUUGUAAUUACUGAGGAGGUCAGGACUGAGUUGGCCAUGCACAAAUGUCUCUCAAAUCUUACCAGGAAGAAAUAUUGCACUUUGCAAAAUGUGGUGAUAUUUCAUUGACACUACAUAAUGUACUGCACAGCAUAUUCUAAAGUUCAUCACGAUAAAGCCUCUGUCCUGCAGUGGAGAUAAAA